GUUCUCCACGUGGACCAUGCUAAAUCUGAUCAUAAGUUAAUAAAAAUGUUUCUACAUGCUUUCUGAGGGAACA
rnacentral:snoRNA from 1 species